rnacentral:lncRNA from 1 species
AUGGCAGCACUUGGGAUUCCAGCAGGCAGCUCUGCAGGCCUCAUGAACUGGUCAGAAGUCUUCACUGCCAGGCCUGAUGGCACAGCUCUGGGGAGGGACUGCUGUAGGCGAGGCCACCUCGGGGAGCUUGCCACCAGUCAGCGCCCAGCUGGGGGUGGCCUGUGGGCCUCCUUGGGAAGGCUCACUGUGGGUGCUCUGAGCAGAGCAGGGAGGGUGCUCUGGGGCCGCGGGUCAGCUGCACUGCGGGGGGCGGGGGGGGGGGGGCGUCAGAGGCUAGAGCUCAGCUUGCUCUCCCAGGGCCUAGCUGCCUCCAGGCCCGGCUGUCCCCCACCUCUGCCCUGGCCACAGCCACCCCCGCUGGGAACCAGGUCUGCCCGGGCUCAGCUCCACCCCCACUCCCCCCUUCCGCCCCCACCCCACCUCCUCCGACCCCCGCCCCAUCUCCAUCCCUUCCCCCACCCCCACGUGGUCUCCCGCCCCAGCGCCCCGCCUGCAGGCCGCCGCUCACCGGCUUCUCCUCCGCGCGGAUGUGGGGAUGGUGCCCAGGCACAGGCCGACCGGUGGCGGCCACGAAGGCGACGGACACGCCGGCGAAGAGCGCGGGUCGUCCAGCGGGUCCCGCAGGCGCCGGCCGUGCCCCGCGCCCCCUGGUCUCCCCGCGGCCCCGCGCGCCUCGGCCGCCUCCUCCGCCUCCUCCUCGCGGCGGCGCAGGCGGCGGCGGAGGCAGCAGCGCCCCAGGCGCCCUCGUCGAUGCCCCGGAGGCCCCGGCGCCCAAGGCCAGCGCCGCGGUGGCGCGGGAGGCGCACGGGCUGCGGUCGAAGAACUCGUGGCACCCGCAGGACCUCGCCGUGGCCUCGGCAGGCCCGCAGGCGCUCCAGGCGCGCGAGGGGACAGCCAGGCGCACCCUGCAGCCGCCCACGAUAUGGUGACACGCGCCGGCCGCCCGCGGGCUCAGGGCGCAGGGCCAUGGCCCAGGGUGCCCGCCACGCUCAGGACACAGCGCCUGCAAAGGAACAGGGGCGUCAGGCCGCGGGGCACCCGACAGAGGGUGCGGAGCCCGGUCGUCCCACGCCCACAGGCCACCCCAGAGCGGGCCCCUUUGGUACCGCAGAUCCGUUCAGGACGCCCUGGCCUCAGCGCACGUCCCUUGCGCUGGAGGGAUGGCGGCCCUGGUGA